GACGAACGCUGGCGGCGUGCCUAAUACAUGCAAGUAGAACGCUGAAGGAGGAGCUUGCUUCUCUGGAUGAGUUGCGAACGGGUGAGUAACGCGUAGGUAACCUGCCUGGUAGCGGGGGAUAACUAUUGGAAACGAUAGCUAAUACCGCAUAAGAGUAGAUGUUGCAUGACAUUUGCUUAAAAGGUGCAAUUGCAUCACUACCAGAUGGACCUGCGUUGUAUUAGCUAGUUGGUGGGGUAACGGCUCACCAAGGCGACGAUACAUAGCCGACCUGAGAGGGUGAUCGGCCACACUGGGACUGAGACACGGCCCAGACUCCUACGGGAGGCAGCAGUAGGGAAUCUUCGGCAAUGGACGGAAGUCUGACCGAGCAACGCCGCGUGAGUGAAGAAGGUUUUCGGAUCGUAAAGCUCUGUUGUAAGAGAAGAACGAGUGUGAGAGUGGAAAGUUCACACUGUGACGGUAUCUUACCAGAAAGGGACGGCUAACUACUUG
rnacentral:rRNA from 1 species